CCUACGGGAGGCAGCAGUAGGGAAUAUUGGACAAUGGGGGAAACCCUGAAGCAGCAACGCCGCGUGGAGGAUGAAGGUUUUAGGAUUGUACACUCCUUUUGUUAGAGAAGAUUAUGACGGUAUCUAACGAAUAAGCACCGGUGAACUCCGUGACAGCAGCCGCGGUAAUACGGAGGGUGCAAGGGUUACUCGGAAUCACUGGGCGUAAAGAGUGCGUAGGCGGGGUUAUAAGUCAGAUGUGAAAUCCUUUAGCUUAACUACAGAACUGCAUUUGAAACUGUUACUCUGGAGUGUGGUAGAGGUAGGUGGAAUUCUUGGUGUAGGGGUAAAAUGCGUAGAGAUUAAGAGGAAUACUCAUUGCGAAGGCGACCUGCUGGAACAUUACUGACGCUGAUGCACGAAAGCGUGGGGAGCAAACAGGAUUAGAUACCCCUGUAGUC
rnacentral:rRNA from 1 species